GGAGAUGUGGUUCAAUGGUAGAAUGCUUGCCUAGCAUGCAUGAGGCCCUCGGUUCAAUCCUCAACACCAUCA
rnacentral:tRNA from 1 species